AUUGAACGCUGGCGGCAGGCCUAACACAUGCAAGUCGAGCGGUAGAGAGGUGCUUGCAUCUCUUGAGAGCGGCGGACGGGUGAGUAAUGCCUAGGAAUCUGCCUAGUGGUGGGGGAUAACGUUCGGAAACGGACGCUAAUACCGCAUACGUCCUACGGGAGAAAGCGGGGGAUCUUCGGACCUCGCGCCAUUAGAUGAGCCUAGGUCGGAUUAGCUAGUUGGUGAGGUAAUGGCUCACCAAGGCGACGAUCCGUAACUGGUCUGAGAGGAUGAUCAGUCACACUGGAACUGAGACACGGUCCAGACUCCUACGGGAGGCAGCAGUGGGGGAAUAUUGGACAAUGGGCGAAAGACCUGAUCCAGCCAUGCCGCGUGCAGGAAGACGGUCCUAUGGAUUGUAAACUGCUUUUA
rnacentral:rRNA from 1 species